CUUCCACUUCUUACUGGAAGGAGGUCCCACCCUCCUGAUUUGCUGGCCAAUCUGAUUUGUUGCUGAACUGCAAGCAAUCCCAUAAGAAAGAUGACAUGGAUACUGUACACAGCUUUAAUACCUCUCAGUUAACUGCGUGACCAGGCAGAAGACAACCAGGAAUAACGGAGUAGCUUUAGCAGGUACAACCUAAUGGAUGUUGAUAGACUUGUGACACUUCUCUGCCUGAACUUUACUCAUGGUUAAUGAUGAUGAAAGGCCACAACUGUUGAAUCCCAUCUGUGCUGAAGAAAGGAGGGUAUUUGUGGUUUCUGUGUGUGCUCAUAUUGAAGAGCACAGAUACUAUCUCAAAUCACAGGAACAGAAACAAGGUCAAGGUUAUUAUUAUCAUCAAGGAAUUGAGAGACCUUUACCCUAUGCAUGAUGAUUCUAUGAUUCUGUUCUGCUACUGGAUGCUUGGGCUUCCCACAGCCAUUCCAAAAUGGAAGACCCACGGGCCUUACUGAUGAAAAGAAAUUAAUUUUAAAGAUCUGAAAGGAACAAUAAAGCACUUUGAGGUAUCAAUUACCUUUAUUGUAAGCAAGUUUUAAGUCUUUCAAAUGAUCUCAGUGGAAGGUUGAGGUUGUACAGAAGAGUUAAACGAAGAGUAGCUCAGGAGCUUCAUUGAUACAGAGGGCCCAAUGAACCACCUGGUAUCACCGGCUGCAAUAUAGAAUCGAAAUUCAACAAGCUGGAAACUGAACGGGAGCAGAUUCUAGCAGGUUUCAGCCUCUUUGCAGGAAAUGCAUCGCCUUCUGUCCUUC